rnacentral:rRNA from 1 species
CACGUAGGGCGCAAUCGUUGUCCGGAAUUAUUGGGCGUAAAGAGCUCGUAGGCGGUCUGUUACGUCUGCUGUGAAAACCCGGGGCUUAACCCUGGGCUUGCAGUGGAUACGGGCAGACUAGAGGCAGGUAGGGGAGAAUGGAAUUCCCGGUGUAGCGGUGAAAUGCGCAGAUAUCGGGAGGAACACCGGUGGCGAAGGCGGUUCUCUGGGCCUGACCUGACGCUGAGGAGCGAAAGCGUGGGGAGCGAACAGG